CUGGUCCCCAGAAAGAUCGAGGCAUGACUAGAGGACUGGGACUUCUAGCCCCUCCUCUCAACCUCUAACGAGGGGAGAAGGGCUGAAAGCUCUCAGUUGCUGGCGCAAAUUCAUAACUUCGAGAUGCAACAGCUUCAGGUCCUUAGAAUGCUCUUCCUGUAUUGCAUUCAGUCGAUCUUUCAGAAAAGCUACCAGACCACACAGGAGGGGCAUCAAGCAGCAGAAAGAAGGUUCACAGGUAGAAAGAACUUGCCUUGAGUCUCAGAUGAGACUUUGGAAUUGAGACUUGGGACUUCUGAAUUAACGCUGGAAUAAGACUUCAGUGCACUAUUGAGAAGUGAUAAUUAUAUUUUGCAGUGCGAGAAGAACAAGAUUUGGGGUCCAAGGGUGGAAUGAUAUAGUCUGGAUGUUUGUCACCUCCAAAUCUCAUGUUGAAAUGUGAUCUCCAUUGUUGGAGGUAAGGCCUGGUGGGAGCUGUUAGGUCAUAGGGGCAGAUCCCUCAUGAAUGGCUUGGUGCCCUCCCCAUGAUAAUGAGUGAGUUCUCACUCUGUUAGUUCACACUGGUUGUUUAAAGGGGCCUGGUACCUCCUCCUCUCUCUUGCUCCCUCUCUCACCAUGUGACUCACCUACUCCCCUUUUGCCUUCCACCAUGAUUGUAAGCGUCCUGAGGCCUCAACAGAAGUUGAGUAGUUGCUGGCACCAUGUUUUUACAGCCUGCAGAACUAUGAACCAAAUAUAUCUCUUUUCUUUACAAAUUA